GGUCCACGGAGGAGGUCCGAGUGCGAUGGCCGUCCCUGUCUCCAGGUAGUCCGAAGGCAACUCCGGGAGCAGCAGCGCGGAGCCCGGCUCCCAGGAGUCAACGCCGCCGCCUCCCGGCACUCACCUCUGCGGGGGAAAAAGAAGAGAGGAAGGAAAAAAAAAAAAAAAACUUUCAGAAGGACAGCAAUUUCCUUCCUUCCUCUUCGGGCUCCUCCUCGCCGCGGCCGAUUAACUCCCUCUGCGCCAGAGGCCCAGGCCCCCCACCGAAGCCGUCGCCCGGAGCGCAGACCUGGGAGCGAGCGCGGAGACACGCGAGCGCGGCGGGGAACCGGCUCCACCCCGGGUCCGAUUUCCGCUGGGUGGCGAUUGCGACAACUCAAGCGGUGACUCACGGAGGCCCUCCCGGGCGAGGAUCCCGAGGCGCACGGCACCGCACCGCCGCGGACCUGGCGCCCGGCCGAGGACUGCACCGGCGGCGGGCUGCGCGCGGACGCCGGGAGUCCCUAUUUCUGCGCCCUGCCCUGGCCCCACCUCCUCCGCCACCCAACCGGGAGCCUCCAGGCGGGAUCCACGCGGAAAGCGCCGCAGCCUCCCCGGGCGGCCUCCCGCCUUCGCCGCCCCGCCUCCCAGCACUCUCAGCGGAGGUCCCUUUGGGGGCAGAAUUUUCAUCUGCAAAACGUUAGCCUUUUCUCAUGCCCAGAAUGGACUACCGAUAGGUCCGGGACGCUAGAGAAGGUCCUAUUUGGGUAUAAAACGACCUCUCGGCCGGGCUUUGAAGGCAGGGAACCGCAGGGGAGAGAAACGCCUCGGUUCCUCGGCUUCCCGGUCUCCCACACCUCCUUCUCCCCCCGCCCCCCAUCCCCUCCCUCCUCUGCUGAGCCGCUAGGGAGACACCUAGCUCAUCCCCGGAGGGGAAAGCUUUUUCCGACCUCUCACCUGGCUCAGCCGCCGCGUCCCUGGCACAGAAAUCCUUCCGCCCAGGGUAGCUCCCUUCCUGGGGCAAAAUUCCGACCACAGUUC
rnacentral:lncRNA from 1 species